GGUUGAUCCUGCCAGUAGCAUAUGCUUGUCUUAAAGAUUAAGCCAUGCAUGUCUAAGUAUAAGUAUUAUACAGCGAAACUGCGAAUGGCUCAUUAAAACAGUUAUAGUUUAUUUGGUAAUGUUUUUACAUGGAUAACCGUGGUAAAUCUAGAGCUAAUACAUGCUACAAAACCUGACUUCGUGGAAGGGUUGUAUUUAUUAGGUAUAAACCAAUACACCGCAAGGUGUUUUGUGAUGAUUCAUAAUAACUGAGCGAAUCGUUUGCUUGUCAAACGAUAAACCAUUCAAGUUU
rnacentral:rRNA from 1 species